AUUGAACGCUGGCGGCAGGCUUAACACAUGCAAGUCGAGCGGGGUGAUGGUGCUUGCACUAUCACUUAGCGGCGGACGGGUGAGUAAUGCUUAGGAAUCUGCCUAUUAGUGGGGGACAACAUCGCGAAAGGGAUGCUAAUACCGCAUACGUCCUACGGGAGAAAGCAGGGGAUCUUCGGACCUUGCGCUAAUAGAUGAGUCUCAGUCGGAUUAGCUAGUUGGUGGGGUAAAGGCCUACCAAGGCGACGAUCUGUAGCGGGUCUGAGAGGAGGAUCAGCCACACUGGGACUGAGACACGGCCCAGACUCCUACGGGAGGCAGCAGUGGGGAAUAUUGGACAAUGGGGGAAACCCUGAUCCAGCCAUGCCGCGUGUGUGAAGAAGGCCUUAUGGUUGUAAAGCACUUUAAGCGAGGAGGAGGCUACUGAGACUAAUACUCUUGGAUAGUGGACGUUACUCGCAGAAUAAGCACCGGCUAACUCUGUGCCAGCCGCCGCAGUAA
rnacentral:rRNA from 1 species